CGAAGUUUUCAGACGUGUCACUGCUGGAUGUGAGGAUGGGAGCCACUUUGCUCUGUGAGCUGGGCCUAUUCUUGCUCUGUACGCUCCUCUGCACCGGACACACUCAAGAUGCUGUGCUAACUAUUGAACCCAGCUGGUCCAGUUUUUUCAUUGAAGAGUUUGUUACCUUCAAAUGUGACAUGAAUGAAGGAGAAGACACUGACUGGGAAUACAAAAUCAACAAGGAUGGUCGAGAAUUUAUCCCCUACAACACACACAAAGACUACAGUUUACCAAUUACAACUACAGAUUACAGUGGUGAAUAUCAGUGCUCUGGUCGCAGGAAGAGCUCACAUGAUACAAAGAACAGUAGUGCUGUCUCUUUAACGGUAUUAGAUAGACCCAGGGCCACACUGACACUAGGAACAACAAUCAUACCAGUAGGGGGCAGUGUGACACUGAACUGCUCUGUGGACAGCUAUGCUAAAUGGAAAUAUGAGUGGUUCAGACGAACCCAAAGAACCUCUGAAGUUCAAAUCAGAGAUCAAAAAAACAGAGAUAUCAGAGUAUC
ensembl:lncRNA